rnacentral:rRNA from 1 species
AUGGACGAGGUACAAGCUUAGUGGCGAACGGGUAGAGGUAACACGUGAAGGAACCUAGCCCUUCAGUGGGGACGAACAGUUGGAAACGACUGCUAAUACCGCAUAAGACCACAGUACCGCAUGGUACAGUGAUCAAAGGAUUUAUUCGCUGAAGGAUGGCUUCGCGUCCGAUUAGGUAGUUGGUGAGGUAACGGCCCGACCCAAGCCUACGAUCGGUAGCCGGACUGAGAGGUUGAUCGGCCACAUUGGGACUGAGACACGGCCCAGACUCCUACGGGAGGCAGCAGUGGGGAAUAUUGCACAAUGGAGGAAACUCUGAUUGCAGCGACGCCGCGUGAGGGAAGAAGGUCUUCGGAUUGUAAACCUCUGUCUUCAGGGACGAUAAUGACGGUACCUGAGGAGGAAGCACCGGCUAACUACGUGCCAGCCGCGGC